CUGUUAUGUAUUGCAAAUGACAUGUACUGAUAAGCACCGGUAAUUUAAUAAAUUAAUUAAAAUUUAUAAAAUCUACCCCUUCCACGUCUUUUCAUCCUCUCUGCAACACCGCCAAACCUACCGGGGCUGCGAUAACAGCUAAACGUGUGAACAGGCAAAGUAAUAGUCGUCGUCCAUGGUGCUCUCGCUGAAUUAAUUCUUUGUUUUCCGGUCGAUCAGUUAAGCAUCCGAGUCGGAAUCGAUGGGGAAUUGGAGAGUGGUGAAUGAAAUUAAUCCCUGAUUUCCUGAGGCGGUGAUUUAUGUUAUAAAAAGUUGAUUCCGAAAAGGUACGACGAAGGAUUUAGCGGAGAAACUUUUGUUGAUGGCUGAACAAGGUGGACAUUAUUGAGCCAAAAAAUUUGAAUGUUUGUGCAAAGAUUGUUGUUGCCAGGGAGACUGCUAGGAAUGUAAGGUUUAUUAUUGCUAGAUCGAUUCUUUUUGUUCAGAUCAUUAUUGUCUCAAGUCCAUCAUUAUUGCUUCGAUGGUGCUGAUGAGCUGAUCUAUUCAUUCGUUUGGCUCAUUCAGAACUAGCAUCAUGUCUAUCGUAGAACUGGUCACAUAUGUAUGAAAGGUAUUGUUUAUGGGGGUGAUUCACACUGAUUUCUUCUGGAUUGCUGUGCAAAAUUAUUGAAAUGUUUGUGGGAUAUUGUAGACGAUGCGGAGAGCUAUGGUUGGCUCUAGAUCUUCUUCAACAAUAACCUUCCCCAACUGUGAGGUUUUUGAGAAGAAUAUAUAUCAACGAGAUUGAAGAAGAUGGAUUGGAAUAUCAAAGAGAUUGAAGAAUAUGGGUAGCAGUGUAUUAAAUUACUUUUUCCAUUUGGAGUAUUGUAAAUUGAGUAUAAUUUGCCAGUAGAUGAUCAUAUUUUUGUAUUUGACUUUUUAUAAGCUUGAUAUUCCAUGGUUUUGGAACUCUGUUCAUCUACAUAUAUUUGGGACUAACUCAUUGUAAAUAAAAAAAUCGUAUUACG